UACAGAGGGUGCGAGCGUUGUUCGGAAUUAUUGGGCGUAAAGGGCGCGUAGGCGGUGCGGCAAGUCACCUGUGAAACCUCUGGGCUUAACCCAGAGCCUGCAGGCGAAACUGCCGUGCUGGAGUGUGGGAGAGGUGCGUGGAAUUCCCGGUGUAGCGGUGAAAUGCGUAGAUAUCUGCAGGAACACCCGUGGCGAAAGCGGCGCGCUGGACCACUACUGACGCUGAGGAACGAAAGCUAGGGGAGCAAACAGG
rnacentral:rRNA from 1 species